UACGAAGGUCCCGAGCGUUGUUCGGAAUCACUGGGCGUAAAGGGAGCGUAGGCGGCGCGGUAAGUCAGAUGUGAAAUCCCGGGGCUCAACCCCGGAACUGCAUCCGAUACUGCCGUGCUAGAGGAUUGGAGAGGUAGCUGGAAUUCUUGGUGUAGCAGUGAAAUGCGUGGAGAUCAAGAGGAACACUCGUGGCGAAAGCGAGCUACUGGACAAUAUCUGACGCUGAGGCUCGAAGGCCCAGGGGGAGCAAACGGG
rnacentral:rRNA from 1 species